AACGAACGCUGGCGGCAUGCCUAACACAUGCAAGUCGAACGAGACCUUCGGGUCUAGUGGCGCGAGGGUGCGUAAAGCGUGGGAACAUGCCCUUAGGUUCGGAAUAACACCCCGAAAGGAGUGCUAAUACCGGGUAAUGACUUCGGACCAGAGAUUUAUCGGCUUUGGAUGGGCCCGCGUUGGAUUAGCUAGUUGGUAGGGUAAAAGCCUACCAAGGCGACGAUCCAUAGCUGGUCUGAGAGGAUGACCAGCCACACUGGGACUGAGACACGGCCCAGACUCCUACGGGAGGCAGCAGUAGGGAAUAUUGGACAAUGGGCGAAAGCCUGAUCCAGCAAUGCCGGGUGAGUGAUGAAUGCCUUAGGGUUGUAAAGCUCUUUUACCCGGGAUGAUAAUGACAGUACCGGGAGAAUAAGCUCCGGCUAACUCCGUG
rnacentral:rRNA from 1 species